AUUGAUGUAGCUCAAUGGUAGAGCAGUGGGACAACAUGUGAGAGGCCCUGGGUUUAAUUCCCAGUAAUAACA
rnacentral:tRNA from 1 species